rnacentral:lncRNA from 1 species
UGCCGUACGCCACCUAGCUGCUCCUUGGCGUUGUCCGGGUGUAAAGCGUCCGGAUGUACGGCUGGGGCAUCGGAGGAUAAGAUCCUGGGUGACUGGUCAAGGAAGAUAGGCCUUUACCACACCGCUGAGGAUGGCUACACAGGGGACUUGUGUCCCAGCAUGUGUACAACCUUCAGAGUGGUAGCACCUAGGAGCACAGCCACUAGGAAGGAAUCAAGUAAGCUUGCUGGACUAUUCUGAGUGGGAAUUGCCCAAAGACAGCAACAGAACAGCCUCUUCCAGCACUGCCAUCUGAUCUGCCUGCCAGUGCCAACAUCCUACAUCCUGUCUGUGCCAAAGCACCUUCUCCUCCUCUUCUUAUGGGAACUUGCCUAUCCUUGGUGUGCAAAACACUGGAUUAGCCAUUCAAGUUAAAGGUUAACUCCAAGAGCCCUUUAGUUUUGCAAUCCCGUUCUCUGAGGAUAUUAGUUUAUUUUACUGCACAGAAGCCUCAAUUCACAUGAAGUGAAUGACUCCAUUCAGCUGAGGUGCCUUGUUCUCCCAGAGUCAUCCUGAAAUUUGUGGAAAGAGUAUUUCUAGAAGGCAGUUUGCCUAACCAAGGUCUAAUCUCUCCCAGGAGGGUCCUAACUCCUUGUACUUGGUGUGGAGAGCAGAUAGGCCAGCUGAGUUCUUAGUUUGUAAAAUGUGGUAGCUGGCACACAAACCCAAGAGGUGUAUUGAUGCUUGCAUCGAGACUCAGGAUUUCAGAGACUGUCAGGCAGGUUUUUGUCACCCAGUUUGUGAGUAGAGAGCUGCUUUACACAGAAUUCUACCCCUGAAGAAUAAAACCUUUGCCUCUGGAUUUAUUGUGUCCAGGUUUCUUCUUGAUUCUUUUUCUCUUCUGAGAAACAGUAAUUACAGCAGCCCUGAGUUCCAGUGGCUGAAGAUGACCUAGAGAGGUAAAUUUGACCAAGGAGAACAUGCAGUGGACUAAGAUCAUGAGAACAAUAACGGGCGUGGGGAGGAAGGAGAAUAGGGUUUGAGAAGGUGUGUAAUUGUUGCCGUGGAGUUAAGACAAAUCAACUGCACCAGUGACAUUCAUGGUGUAUGUUUGUCUAACCUGCUAAUAAAACCUGCAACAGUAGGUUUCCCACAGUGUCCCUCUUUUCUGGUGUUUAACUAGCUUUGGUGCUCUGCCCUUGGAGAGCUCAUUUGAGCAGGUGUUUCUCUCUGCCCUACCCUCACACCACAUCGUUCACACCAGCUCCUCACGUGAAAGCUGCAUUGUUAGUGUUUGUUCUGCCUUUUUAUAUCUAAACAAUCUUUC